ACAUGACCUUAGCUGUUAGCUUUUUAUGAUCGAUUUCUACGUUCCUGACCAUUCUCUAUCAUAUUUCGAAAGUUGGUAAGUUCAAGUAUAUUUAUAUGAUUACAACAUUUCUUUCUAUUUCAUUCAAGUAUAACAUUGUUGAAGGUGUCUAAAUCAUCGUAAAUUGUUCCAUAUUUUUAAUGCAAGAUAAAAAUGUAAUUUGACCUAAUUAUAUUACUGUAAACAAACAUUUUGACUUCAGAGAUUUGAUAUAUAUAACAUAUACGAAUCAAUCAAAUGGUCGUAGUAACACUAUUGAUUACUAUUGAUUUUAAUUGAUUGUUUGUUAGAGUGGGUUUCCUUAUUUGAAUCAUUAUACGAAGGAAACGAUAAAGGUGUGGUCUUGCAUAACACAGUCACAACUCCACUUGAUGUUUACAAAUAUAUACGAUACAGUGUUGUUGUCAUAACAGUGACGGUAACCAUUCGCCGUGAAUUUUGUCCCAAAUGUACGAUGAAGUUCAUUAAUUUAUGCACAGCAACUACCUGCAACGAUAACAGUAUGUAAACAAUUAAAGUAUUUCAUUGACCUUGAGCUUUUUAAGUGAUGCAUGUUGGACUAACCAAUAAAUGAUGUAAUACUCAUCAGCCGUUUGACACGUUACUGUCAAAUUAUGUUUAAAACGAUUAUUUUUACCUUUUUUUCAGAAAUUAAGAAGAACAAGUCCUUUAAAGAAUUUGGAACAACUAUAAAUUAUUAGAAAGGAACAGAUUUUCAAUAUAAUUCGGCAUUUUUAAUUUCGCGUUUUGCAAAUAAAGAGAAUUAUCACAAUACUGGUAGUAUUGGUAUAAGCUUGUGAUUUCGAGCUUUCGACUGAGGGGAGAGGCAUAUUAAAGAAGUCAGGACCAUUUAGAAGCAUAAAAAAUGUGACCAUGUAUAAUUUUUGAUACAUAUUGUACAAGCAUUUGCGUCACAGCAAUUUACACGGCUAAAACACAUGCAAUAAGUGUUUAUUUAAUUAAGACUUAUUUAUCGAAUCCUGAUUUAAAUCUGAGCAGGUUUUGUUUCAAAACACAUUGUGACCUUAAAGCAUCGACAAAGGCAGCUGUUGGUUCUGCCCGUCGGGAUGUAAACGAAUUUUCUUUUCAUGUUUUUUUUUUUUUAUUUUCACAUUACACUAGGACCCACUAAAAAGUUGUGAAAUUUUGAAGCAUACAAAGAGGAAAUCAUAAAAUCUAUUGUUUUGAGAUCGAAUAUAUAUAUAUAUACCAUAAGUGGUUCGUUAAUCAAUAUUUAAUGAUUAAAGCUACUAGAGAGUAACCGUCAAUAACAAACCCUCUACUAUCAUCUAUAUAACCUUUAAAAAUCUUGGUCACGAGUUAAUAGACCAUAAAAAUCGUGUUAAGUUAGAUUUGGUGUAAACCAUUGUAAACAAAAUAAUACCAAUUAAUAGAAUGUAGAACAACGAAGAUGCACUUUAAAAGAUAAUUGUCAUUGAUGUUGAAGAUUUUGUAGGAUGUUUUUGAAAAAAUUAUGGAGUUGAUCAUGACCCUAUUGAAGAAAAAGCAAAAUACCGAAAAUCUUAGUACAUCAAAUCCAUCAAAUAUUUUUUUAUCAAGAUUUAGGGAAUAGUAUAACAUUUUAAGAUCGUCGUGGGAGAUAAGAAUAUAGGGUAAGCAUAUACAUCAACUUCUGUUUAAAUAUCGUAUUGGUAAGAACAAAAACAUUUCUGAAAAGUGAGAAAAGUGAAAUAUUAAAGAAAAUAUUGUAAAAAAAAAAAAAAAGAACACCAUCGCCGAACAAAAGAAAAAUUCGCCUGUGAACCGUACAAUGAUUGUUUGCGGCCAUACCUUGGUCGCGUUUACAAACAGUUCCAGAAAGUAACACAUGCAAUUAUAUUGUUUACUGUGCUGAUGCACACAUAUACCACAAGACGACGUGUCACUUGUUUCCCAUAUAUAACAUUUUAAAUUGUCAGUUGAAUUUUAUAAUUUUCGUAUAGCUUCAUUGGCAAUGUUUUCCAAUCGUCAUCAGUGCUUCUGUUCUUAUUGAUAUCAGAGGGCGAAUUUAGGUGGGACACGACAGGCAGGCGACUUUAAUUGAAACUAUCAAUGCAAAAAUGCAAAUACAAAAUUUAGGAAAGCAAAACAUGAAAAUGCGGAAAUGUCCGAUGGCGGAGACUCCUAUCAGGACCCACAUUGGUCCUAGGUGGUCCAUUGAUCCAUUGACCACUCGGCACAUUUUCACGCUAACCUACAACUCGAAGGCAGACAUGGGCUUAAAUCGUACACGUAAGAAUGUGUCUUGCGCUCUUUCAGAUUCUCACUCCUAAAUGAGGCGGCUCUUUCUUACACUAUACUUCACGAAGUUUAUUUAAUUUGACGUUCGUAUAAAUAACACGGUUAAUAAGUUACCUACAAUCAGCCAACUUGAUAUGAUCAAUCAAUAGGUGGGUACAGCACCCACCCAUCCACCCACACAAAAAAAAAGUCUUAAAAGGAACUCCAUAUUUAUUUCGCGUUCCGAUAAUUCAAAUUAAGUGUUUGUUCGGGUUUAGUUUUCAGGUACAAAAAAGGUGGAGCACUAUAGAUCACUAUAUAUGUACUCGAACCUCCGCGGC
rnacentral:lncRNA from 1 species